rnacentral:rRNA from 1 species
UAACCUGCCCAAGAGAUCGGGAUAACACCUGGAAACAGAUGCUAAUACCGAAUAACAACAGAUGAUGCCUAUCAACUGUUUAAAAGAUGGUUCUGCUAUCACUCUUGGAUGGACCUGCGGUGCAUUAGCUAGUUGGUAGGGUAACGGCCUACCAAGGCGAUGAUGCAUAGCCGAGUUGAGAGACUGAUCGGCCACAUUGGGACUGAGACACGGCCCAAACUCCUACGGGAGGCAGCAGCC